rnacentral:rRNA from 1 species
AUGCAGACCAAACCGUACAAAUUCCAUUCUAAUAUACAACUGAAAAAAAAAGGAUUUUCAAACCAUACAGAUACACUACUGCAUUACUCCAGUUCAUAUAAAUACUGCAGCACUCAUCUUGUUGAACAAAUCAUCUUUGGUAUAUCCAUCAUAGAUAUGGACUUUAUUUCUGGUGGAGAAGUACAGGAGUUUGCUGGUAAGGUCCGAGAAGAACAGCCGAUCGACAGAGACUCAGAGAGGCGGACCAGUGGCGCAAUCGGAGGGCUGCUGGCGGAGACCUGGGUGUGGGCUAGUGGACGUGAGAUACAGUUCAAGUCCUUCACCUUGUAA